GACACACUUCCUUGAAUAUGCUUUACGGACGAAAAGUUUUCAAAUAUUGUCGUUUACUUCACGUUUAGUGGCAAUAUUUGGUGUACGAGUGUCCAGCAACCAUUCAUGGUUGUUCAGUGUAUAGCAUAUGAGUCAAUGGUGUGUCAAAGUAUUUGUACCCUCACUAAAAUUUUAGCAGUUCGGCUUUGUAUUUCAAACUGCAUAAAUCUUUACUGCGGACAAA
rfam:Ciona intestinalis ciona0312, whole genome shotgun sequence.